AUGGUUACUUUAUCGCCAGGGGUCACUGUCUCUCCAUCAUCAUCAUCGGCUCCAAAAUAUAGUCCCAUGUCCAUCUCAAUUCACGGCCAGAAAACUAUGGGCGCAAAUUUCAACUGGGGAAAACUUUGGGCCCUCCCCCUGCCAGGUAAGAUCCUCCACUUCUUAUGGCGUCUAGUAACUUAUAGUUUACCCUUAAGAAUGAAACUAAAGCAGAGGGGUUUGGAAGUGGAUACACGAUGCCUAGUUUGCUUUAGACUUGAUGAGGAUGGAGGGCAUUGCUUCCUGAAAUGCAAAUUUGCGAAAAAGAUUUGGGGUUUAUCCCAAAUGGAACCUAUCAGGCUGAAGUUGUUGUUGUGCACAAAUCCUCUAUGUCUAUUGGAAGAAGUGUUUCGGCUGAAUGAGGAGGAAUGUAUGAAAGUGUGUAUCUUACUUUGGUUAGUUUGGCAUCAAAGAAACAAAGCCAAUGCUGGAGAGAAAAUCAAAUGCCCAGAUGACAUAUUAUCUUCUAUUAAUUACCAUACUUAUGAAUACAGGAGCCUGAAGCAGCGGAGGAUGAUCCCAAAGCAGACAAACAUCCAAAAGUGGACUCCUCCACCAGCUGCAGGUGCAGGAAACCUGGAACACGUCUCGGAUGCCUUUCAUGCUGAAGCACUAGCAAUACUAAAUGCGCUCAAUGCAACAGCCAAGAUGGGUUUCAACCAAGUCAUCUUCGAAAUGGAUUCCACAGUGCUGAAGCAAGCAAUUUCAAGUGAGGACUAUGACCUAGCGCCACUCGGAGCCUUGUUCCAAGAGAUAAAAUUUCAACUGAGGAUCGCUUUUGAGAAUGUAAAACUUUAUGUAUGCCCUAUGUCUUGUAACAAUGCAGCACAUGUCUUAGCAGCACAUGAAGCUAGCUUAGGAGAUGGCAUGUAUGAAAUCUGGUUAGGCCAGUUUCCUGAACUUGUAAUGAACUCUGUAGCUGGGGAUUUAACCAGCAGGUCUCUGUAG
rnacentral:rRNA from 1 species